CCUGAUUUUACCUAGUGUACUUCAUUUCUGACCCUGAUUUGCCUAGUGUACUAUAUUGUUGACCCUGGUGGUACGGCCCCUCGGGCCGUACGGCCUGGAGAGUGUCUCUCCACCUCUCUCCACCGUCGCUACGGCGCUGCUAUGCAGAUCCAGAAUUACUGUGCCAUCCAUUGUUUCAAAUAUCCCGCCAGGACAGAGCGGUCUAUUCCCUCGAAAUGCAAACUUCUCGGGGCGGGUAUUACGAACAAACUGAGAAACAGAGAUAAAAAUAACCGUGUCGUGUUUCUCGACUCAAUUGGUAAGUUACAUAGGCUCAAGUUUUAACAGUAAAAAAUGACACACUCUAAAUAAAGUGGUGUAAAAUUUGCUCAAGGUUGAGUAAAAUACAGAGGGUGACACAAGGAUUGUGUAAAAUUCUGGAAGCAGUUGGACAAAUUUUACCACACUCAAAAUAAAAAUGAGUAAAAUUUACUCGAUGUUGGACAAAUUUUACCUUGAUUAAAUUUUACUCAUUUUUAUUUAGAUUGCAAAUUACUGUACGUAUUUACUCAAAUGUGCGUAAAUUUUGCAUAACUUUGUUUAGAGUGUACAUAUUUCAGGGAGAUGGGAUUACGCCCGUGGUGACUUUGAUGACUUGUUAUCCCUUGCGUUCCUUCAACUGGAGGACGCCAUCCGAAGCGUGCCGUCCUCUGCGGACGAGGGCGUUGUCCUGCUCCAUGAUCUUGGCGGGGUUAAAAUCUCCAAUCUUAGGAUCUUUACUCCAGCCAGGAUCCGCAUGAUUGUAGACUUUUAUAAGUUAACGCUCCCAUUCGGGUUAAAGAGUUGCAUUAUGUGAACAUGGGAUCAGUGUGCAAUCAAAUUUUCUCUCUGCUGAAGAUUCUACUUCCGGCGAAAAUUCGAAAACGGGUUUUCGUCCACUCGUCAUACGAAUCAUUGCACGCUGAAGUUUCCAAGUCCAUCCUCCCAACCAGUUUGGGCGGCAUUUUGGAAGAUAACGAAGCCAUCGAUGACACCGUCGAGGCACGAAUUGUGGCCCGCGAAGAAAUGUACCAAGGUCUGACGGAGCUGUCAUUUUCCAGGGCGAAAGUGUAGACAAUUUAUGGAAAAUGACUUUUUUAUAGAAAUUUUAUUAUGUACAUUGUAAAAAAUUUAGUAGAGUUACACCCAGUCCUUAUAUUGAUAUUUGGUAAUAACCUCCCCCUGGAUUGGUAAUGGUUUGUUUCUGAGUGGUAAGUUUUUAUUACCACCGCAUUACAAUAAAGUAAUGGCGGUUAUUACCAGUACCGGUGUAAUAAAUACAUACCAUUUUGGUAGACAAGAGUGUACCACAAGUUUACUUUUCUCAAUUUCAUAUUUUCUAAUUAGCCGUGUAUGUAUGUAUACAAUUGAUUGUGGAAUAAAUCGUUACAUGGGAAUAUGCAUAUAUUAUGUCAUCAUUUUAGUGGGUAAGUGGAUUAGGUCUUUCUCAUGUUAUAAAUCCCUUAAUGUAUACGUUGGGUGGGGGUUAAAAU